UGAGGAAUAUUGGUCAAUGGGCGAGAGCCUGAACCAGCCAAGUCGCGUGAAGGAUGACUGCCCUAUGGGUUGUAAACUUCUUUUACAGGGGAAUAAAAUGAGAUACGUGUAUUUUAUUGCAUGUACCUUGUGAAUAAGCAUCGGCUAACUCCGUGCCAGCAGCCGCGGUAAUACGGAGGAUGCGAGCGUUAUCCGGAUUUAUUGGGUUUAAAGGGUGCGUAGGUGGGCUGUUAAGUCCGCGGUGAAAGUUUGUCGCUUAACGAUAAAAUUGCCGUUGAAACUGGUAGUCUUGAGUAUAGAUGAAGUAGGCGGAAUGCGUGGUGUAGCGGUGAAAUGCAUAGAGAUCACGCAGAACUCCGAUUGCGAAGGCAGCUUACUAAGGUAUAACUGACACUGAAGCACGAAAGCGUGGGUAUCAAACA
rnacentral:rRNA from 1 species